GACGAACGCUGGCGGCGUGCUUAACACAUGCAAGUCGAACGAUGAAGCUGGAGCUUGCUCCAGUGGAUUAGUGGCGAACGGGUGAGUAACACGUGAGCAAUCUGCCCUUGACUCUGGGAUAACUGCGGGAAACUGUAGCUAAUACCGGAUACGACACCUUGGGGCAUCCCGGGGUGUGGAAGGAAUUUCGGUCAAGGAUGAGCUCGCGACCUAUCAGCUUGUUGGUGAGGUAAAGGCUCACCAAGGCGACGACGGGUAGCCGGCCUGAGAGGGUGACCGGCCACACUGGAACUGAGACACGGUCCAGACUCCUACGGGAGGCAGCAGUGGGGAAUAUUGCACAAUGGGCGAAAGCCUGAUGCAGCAACGCCGCGUGAGGGAUGACGGCCUUCGGGUUGUAAACCUCUUUUAGCAGGGAAGAAGCGAAAGUGACGGUACCUGCAGAAAAAGCACCGGCUAACUACGUGCCAGCCGCCGCCGUAA
rnacentral:rRNA from 1 species